CUGGAGGGGGUAGGAGAGCACAUGCCAGGUGGGGGCCAGGCUGAAACAAGGCUUGGCAAUGGGGGCCAGGACCAAUGUGAACAGAGAGAGUGGAGGGACAGAGGGACAUAGCGGGCGACAAGUUGAUUCAGAAGGACUCAAACAUGGGAGGAAGGUUGUAGGAACCUCUUCAUCCGGGCAAACCCCAGGAAAGGGUUUGACACCCCAUCAAAGGAAGACUGGUGGUCAUGUGCAGGAUGGGGGCAGGGCCAGGCUUCCCGUCUGCUAAGGGGAUGGAGGCCCCUGGAGUGUGACACGGGGGGCCUUGGAGACCGGUGCCUUUCCCCACCUGUCAGUCUGCCUAGAGGGUCAUCAUUAGGGUCAGGUCUUGGGAUUCAGUGCUGCCGUCUUCCUGAAUCUGUUUUGUUUUGUUUUAAGCUGAUAUUGCAAGAAAGGGAGGGGAGAUGACUUUGCUUCUUGUUGAGUUUGCUGACGGCGUCUGGCCUUUGGAGGAGGAACAUCUUCGCAGAAAGGCCAAGGCCCAAGCAAGCCCCUGGGGCCUGACCAGUCCACUGAUUGAACCAGCCACCCCCUUGGUCCAGGACGUUCUGAGAUGCCUGCCCCACGAGGAGCUCCCCCUAAAUCCCAAGAUCUACCAUCAUAGCACAGGGACCGGGCCCAGCCAAAGAGGCCUCAGAGGUCCCACAGAUCCUGAGACCCAGGCUGAGGGGCCAUUGGGCCAGGCUGGCCCUUACCAUCCUGUGCCCGCGGCCAGCCUGAGUGCUGAGUCUGCGGCACAGCAGCUGCUUCUGGCCACAAAGGCCCAGUUAUAAAUAAGCCCCAUGUGGCCAAGUCAUCAAUUCUGCAGAACUCUGGCCCAGCUGCAUCACUUCAGUGACCACAGGUCGGGCUGCCCAGGGUGGACCCCAGAACCCACCCACCCAGGCCAAAGGCUAAUAGGCUCGAAGCCUCCUUGGGUCCUCAAAUUUCUAUGUUUGAGCAUCUGCAGCUCUUGAAACUUAGGCCUCCCUGGACACAGGCCACAGAAGGGACAGGGCCCAUCCUGCCUGCACAGAGCCAGCAGCUAUUUACAAACCGAAACCCGGAGAAGUGAAGUAGCUGUGGCCAAAGUGGCUCCAGGCCCCCAGCCCCCACUCCCACUCCAUCCCCGGCAGUGCCCCCCCAUGGCUUCCUCUUUCCUUCCCACACAGCACCCCAACCUCCUACUGCCUGGCCAGCUCUGGACAACCUGAAGCUACCCCAUGGUGACCCCCAACCCCUUAGCCACCUGCCCAGGGCUCCCCUGCUCCUCUUUACCCCAGGACCCUGUAAGUGUGAGCUCCUUGAAGCAGCUCCCCGCCCCUGCACCACACACACUGGACCCAGCCCACCCCCGUCUGCACGAGGCACAUUCCCACAGUUCUCAGUUCCCCUUCAUGACUGGAAAAGCUCCAACCCAAUGGGCGCCAUGUUGCUGGCCCUUGCCUGAGGGCGGCUCCUUUGGGUGCCUUUGACCUUCACAGCAGACAAGUAGGGGGUCAGGAGAUGGGGUGUGCUCCUCUGGUAUCUGAGGGUUGCUUCUGGCGGGAGGCCAUCACCCUACUCGUUGUCAGCCCCCUCAUCAGGCAGGUGUGGAUUGUAGGCCCCUGUGCAGGGCAGAUUGGGUGGGGACAGAUGGACACGGGUGGAGACCACAGCUCAACACUGCUUAGGAGCUGGCGGAUCGGCUGGUGCUGCAGCAGCGACAGGGAGAGAGAGCAUAUGACCAUCCCUGGUGGCAGUGUCCCUCGCGUUGACACGAGGUUGACAGUUCCCCUCCAUCUGUAUUCCCCUCAGAAAAGGCCUGUUCUGUCAUCUCCGUCAUAAGAUGGAAACUGAGGCUCAGGGGGGACCAUGGGUCUGCGCGGCUAAAGGGUCUGGACUGAGAUUCUAGAUUCCACAAGGAAAAUCUAAACCCACGGCCUCCCUCUUCUGACACCUGGCUCCUCUGUGUACCUCAGUCUCUCUCCCAGAAGGGUGGACACUUCCCAGCACUGUGACAAGGAUGGAGCAGAGGGGUCUGGAGCUCAGGCCUCGGACCCCAGGGCACAUGGCCUUCCCUGGCCCUGCCAUCAGUGCCCACUGGCCCCUGCCUUUGCCACAGGCCCUGCCCCAUUCCUUCCCUCUGGCCACAUCCCCGCCGAGGGAAACCCCUGGGUGAGCGCCUCCUGCCCCAGGCAGCUGGCCCACGGAGUCCCACCUCUCCUCUCUGAGCCGCAGAUUUCAAUCUUGUGAAUUGUCACAAAUACCUGGAGCCAGGCCGGUCCUGGGUGUGAGCUGUCUAUACAGCUAGGGCUCGGCCCUUGCCCUUGGGGAACCCAUAGUCCUAUGGGGACUGCAGACAAGCCCUGUGAGCUUCAAGGGAGAAACUGAGGCCGUGGGACGCUGCCUGGGGGGGGGAGCGCUGCUAUUGGGAUGGGCCCUGAAGGACAGGAAGGAGUUCUCCAGCAAGAGCAGGGUGGAUCGGGGCUCAGUGCUGAGUCACAGCCCCGUGCCUGGCUUCUCGGCUCCCGUGGCCUGGAGGGCCGGUCCCUGCUGUGAACUCCUGCCCAUCUGUCAAGGCCCAUGGCCAUGCCAUAGCACGACCAGGCUUCGCCUGGCCUGGUGGCUCCUCACUUCCACUUCUCUCCUAGGGCCUGGAACAGACCCAGAGGUGAGGCUUCCUUGGUCCUAAUACACUUGCCAGCCCCACCCGGCCAGGCGUCUGCUCCCGGGCUCCAGCCCCCGCUGUCCUCUGCUCCGAAAAGCACCGUUUCCCUUUUCUGGGUGACCACACACGCCAUGCACAGGGAAUUUCCAUCGCAGCCUGCGGAGCCUCUGAUUCACUCAGGCCCCUCAUGCAGUUAACUCCUCCAGGUCUGGCCUCCUGCUCCAGCACCCUGGCUGCCCCCAGCCCUAGCCAGACCUCUGGGCCACUCUGCACUGACCUUGGGCCCCGUAGACUCCAAGAUGAAUUCGGCAACCAUCUCAGUGGCCCACUAGAGUCGGCUCACCUCCUCCACACUCAUAGAUCUAAGGCAGCUUUGGGCCGAACUCAGGUUUGUGGGCAAGACAAGCCUGGGCUUAAAUACUGAUUCUGGCCCUUAGUCCCUGUGUGGCCUGGAGCACAUGGAAGCACCCACCGUGAGCUGGUUUCUGUCUUUAAAAUGGAGAUAACUCCUGCCCGUGGCCUCUGAGCCUACGGCGGAACUCAGUAACUCUUAGUUUUUUUUCUUUUCAAAGAGCUUUGCCUACCCACUUGAAUCAAAUUGUGAAAUAUGAUAUAUCAAGAACUAUGUAAUGUUUUGAACAGCCAACAAUAAAAAAUUUAAAAAAAAAAAGAGCUUUGCUUGUCCUACCACAGAGUCCCUACCCCGGCCCUUCUCCUGGGCUGGCUCUCUCCUCCCAAUAGCUGGUUGCUCAAGGAGGGUGAGAGGGACGUGCAGCCUUGACCCCCAGGGUGGUGGGGCCUUGUCCAGUGGGCAGAGAAGCUGUCUCAGGCCUCUGCUCUACCAGCUUCCUGGCUCCCCACAUUUCUGCUUUUCCCAGGAGCAGUGGAGAGGCCUGGGGUGGGAGCUCCAAGGGGCUGAGGACUGAGAUGCUGAGCCCUGGGGACAGGGCUGAGCUUCCUUCUCUCUGGCGGGCACCUGGUCACACACAUAAUCAUACCUGCGUUCUCACGGGCCCAUGAGGUGUGUCCCGUUAUUGUUCCCAUUUUGCAGAUGAGGAG
rnacentral:lncRNA from 1 species